AAUAGCUCAGUAGGGAGAGCGUUAGACUGAAGAUCUAAAUGUCCCCGGUUCGAUCCCGGGUU
rnacentral:tRNA from 1 species